AGCUCCAAUCGCGUAUCUUAAAGUUGUUGCGGUUAAAAAGCUCGUAGUUGGAUUUCUGGUGAGGACGACCGAUCCGCCCUCUGGGUGAGUAUCUGGCUUAGCCUUGGCAUCUUCUUGGAGAACGUAUCUGCACUUGACUGUGUGGUGCGGUAUCCAAGACUUUUACUUUGAGGAAAUGAGAGUGCUUCAAGCAGGCACACGCCUUGAAUACAUUAGCAUGGAAUAAUAAGAUAGGACCUUGGUUCUAUUUUGUUGGUUUCUAGACCUGAGGUGAUGAUUAAUAGGGAUCGUUGGGGGGGCAUUCGUAUUUAAUUGUCAGGGGUUAAAUUCUUGGAUUUAUUAAAGACGGACUACUGCGAAAGCAUUUGCCAAGGAUGUUUUCA
rnacentral:rRNA from 1 species